CGAAGACGUGACAUGGUGAAAAUUUUGGUAGCACAUUUAACAAAUGAACAUGGAACAAGCCCUUCCCGACGUUUGAAGGAAGAAUAUGCGAAAGGAAUCAUUUCCCUCUUCCCAUGCUUGGCUGACCCCAGGAGCAAGCUUGGAUAUGAGCAUUAUUACAAUGCAGAAGAUGGAAGUGGAUAUUUGGCGUGGAGAAUUAAAACUCUGCAGAAAGAAGCAUCAGAGGGACGGAUGAAGC